rnacentral:rRNA from 1 species
CCUACGGGAGGCAGCAGUGAGGAAUAUUGGUCAAUGGGCGGGAGCCUGAACCAGCCAAGUCGCGUGAGGGAAGACGGUCCUAUGGAUUGUAAACCUCUUUAGGCGGGGAGCAAUGCCGGGCACGCGUGCCCGGAGGGAGAGUACCCGCAGAAUAAGCAUCGGCUAACUUCGUGCCAGCCGCCGCGGUAAUACGGAGGAUGCGAGCGUUAUCCGGCUUGGGUGGGUUUAAGGGGUGCGUAGGCGGAUUUUUAAGUCAGCGGUAAAAUGUCCGGGCUCAACCCGGGCCGGCCGUUGAAACUGGGGAUCUUGAGUGGGCGAGAAGUAUGCGGAAUGCGUGGUGUAGCGGUGAAAUGCAUAGAUAUCACGCAGAACUCCGAUUGCGAAGGCAGCAUACCGGCGCCCGACUGACGCUGAGGCACGAAAGCGUGGGGAUCGAACAGGAUUAGAUACCCCAGUAGUC